rnacentral:lncRNA from 1 species
CCGACCUCCAAUAGACCCGAGCUCUGUAAACAAAUACAGAUUCCACUGGACCAACCCACUCACCAAAACACGGGAAUUAGUGACUGGGUCCCCAACUUACUAUAAGGCGAAUGAGACUAAUCUACUGCCAAGCGACUACUAGAUGCGGAAGUGGAAUCAGUGAUCCUAUCCUUUCUUUAUAAAGAGAACUGCCAGUCCACUACUGGACAAGUAUAGAAACUCAAACCACAACUUCUCUAUUUCUUCUUUGCUUAACACAAGCAAAAGAGCCUUACAAUUAAGCUUCCAACCAGGGGACUAUCACUUAACUCGACCAGGAACAGGAGAA